CCUACGGGUGGCUGCAGUGAGGAAUAUUGGGCAAUGGGCGCAAGCCUGACCCAGCAACGCCGCGUGAAGGAAGAAGGCUUUCGGGUUGUAAACUUCUUUUAAGAGGGAAGAGCAGAAGACGGUACCUCUUGAAUAAGCCACGGCUAACUACGUGCCAUCGGCCGCGGUAAUACGGAGGGGGCAAGCGUUUUCCGGAUUUACUGGGUGUACAGGGCGUGUAGCCGGGCUUACAAGUCAGAUGUGAAAGUCCGUGGCUCAACCACGGAACUGCAUUUGAAACUGUCGGUCUUGAGUAUCGGAGAGGCAGGCGGAAUUCCUAGUGUAGCGGUGAAAUGCGUAGAUAUUAGGAGGAACACCAGUGGCGAAGGCGGCCUGCUGGACGACAACUGACGGUGAGGCGCGAAAGCGUGGGGAGCAAACAGGAUUAGAUACCCUAGUAGUC
rnacentral:rRNA from 1 species